UGAGGAAUAUUGGUCAAUGGGCGGGAGCCUGAACCAGCCAAGCCGCGUGAGGGAGGAAGGCCCUAUGGGUCGUAAACCUCUUUUGUCAGGGAACAAAAGCGAGUAUGUAUACUAGUCUGAGUGUACCUGAAGAAAAAGCAUCGGCUAACUCCGUGCCAGCAGCCGCGGUAAUACGGAGGAUGCGAGCGUUAUCCGGAUUUAUUGGGUUUAAAGGGUGCGUAGACGGCGGUGCAAGUCAGCGGUAAAAGCCCGGGGCUCAACCCCGGCGAGCCGUUGAAACUGCAGUGCUAGAGAAGGCGAGAGGUACGCGGAAUGCGCAGUGUAGCGGUGAAAUGCUUAGAUAUUGCGCAGAACUCCGAUUGCGAAGGCAGCGUACUGGCGCCUGACUGACGCUGAGGCACGAAAGCGUGGGGAUCGAACAGGAUUAGAUACCC
rnacentral:rRNA from 1 species